rnacentral:lncRNA from 1 species
GUAUUGGGGUAGAAGAUACUGUAUACCGUUACCUGUGCCCUGUGAGAAAGAUUGGAAGCAUCAUUGGUAGGGGUGGAGACAUUGCAAAACAACUAAGAUCUGAAACUAAAUCAAACAUUAGGAUUGGGGAAACUAUGCCAGGCUGUGAGGAACGUGUUGUCACCAUCUAUAGUUCAAGUGAGGAAACUAAUCCAUUUGGUGAUACCGGUGAGCUUGUUUCACCUGCACAAGAUGCUCUCUUCAGGGUGCAUGAUAGGAUUGUUGCUGGUGAGCUGCCUGCUGAUGAGGAACCUGAAGAGGCACAGCAAGUUACUGUUCGGAUGCUUGUGCCUUCUGAUCAG